rnacentral:rRNA from 1 species
AACGUAGGAGACAAACGUUAUCCGGAGUUACUGGGCGUAAAGGGCGUGUAGGUGGUAUCGUAAGUCUGGCGUGAAAUUUCUCGGCUUAACCGAGGCAGGUCGUCGGAUACUGCGAGGCUAGAGGACGGUAGAGGCGUGUGGAAUUCCGGGUGUAGUGGUGAAAUGCGUAGAGAUCCGGAGGAAUACCAGAGGCGAAGGCGGCUACCUGGACAAUUGCUGACGCUCAGGCACGAAAGCGUGGGGAGCAAAAGGG